UACGGAGGAUGCAAGCGUUAUCCGGAAUGAUUGGGCGUAAAGCGUCCGCAGGUGGCUGUGUAAGUCUGCUGUUAAAUAGUGAGGCUCAACCUCAUAAAGGCAGUGGAAACUACACGGCUAGAGUGCGUUCGGGGCAGAGGGAAUUCCUGGUGUAGCGGUGAAAUGCGUAGGUAUCAGGAAGAACACCGGUGGCGAAAGCGCUCUGCUAGGCCGCAACUGACACUGAGGGACGAAAGCUAGGGGAGCGAAUGGG
rnacentral:rRNA from 1 species